rnacentral:rRNA from 1 species
GUGGGGAAUUUUGGACAAUGGGCGCAAGCCUGAUCCAGCAAUGCCGCGUGCAGGAAGAAGGCCUUCGGGUUGUAAACUGCUUUUGUACGGAACGAAACGGUCCGGGUUAAUACCCUGGGCUAAUGACGGUACCGUAAGAAUAAGCACCGGCUAACUACGUGCCAGCAGCCGCGGUAAUACGUAGGGUGCAAGCGUUAAUCGGAAUUACUGGGCGUAAAGCGUGCGCAGGCGGUUUUGUAAGACAGGCGUGAAAUCCCCGGGCUCAACCUGGGAAUUGCGCUUGUGACUGCAAGGAUGGAGUGCGGCAGAGGGGGAUGGAAUUCCGCGUGUAGCAGUGAAAUGCGUAGAUAUGCGGAGGAACACCGAUGGCGAAGGCAAUCCCCUGGGCCUGCACUGACGCUCAUGCACGAAAGCGUGGGGAGCAAACAGGAUUAGAAACCCGUGUAGUCC